GAUGAACGCUGGCGGCGUGCCUAAUACAUGCAAGUCGAGCGAACAGACGAGGAUCUUGCUCCUCUGACGUUAGCGGCGGACGGGUGAGUAACACGUGUAUAACCUACCUAUAAGACUGGUAUAAUUUCGGGAAACCGGCGCUAAUACCGGAUAAUAUAUUGAACCGCAUGGUUCAAUAGUGAAAGACGGUUUUGCUGUCACUUAUAGAUGGAUCCGCGCCGCAUUAGCUAGUUGGUAAGGUAACGGCUUACCAAGGCAACGAUGCGUAGCCGACCUGAGAGGGUGAUAGGCCACACGGGAACUGAGACACGGUCCAGACUCCUACGGGAGGCAGCAGUAGGGAAUCGUCCGCAAUGGGCGAAAGCCUGACGGAGCAACGCCGAGUGAGUGAUGAAGGUCUUCGGAUCGUAAAACUCUGUUAUUAGGGAAGAACAAAUGUGGAAGUAACUAUGCACGGCUUGACGGUACCUAAUCAGAAAGCCACGGCUAACUACGUG
rnacentral:rRNA from 1 species